rnacentral:rRNA from 1 species
CGCGGUAAUUCCAGCUCCAAUAGCGUAUACUAAAGUGUUGCAGUUAAAAAGCUCGUAGUUGGAUUUCUGGCGGGGACGGCUGGUCGGUCUCGAAAGGGGCUGUACUGUUGUUGGUUCCCGUCAUCCUUGGGGAGAGCGGCUCUUACAUUAAGUUGUCGGCGUCGGGAUCCCUAUCUUUUACUGUGAAAAAAUUAGAGUGUUCAAAGCAGGCUUAGGCCCUGAAUACAUUAGCAUGGAAUAAUAAGAUACGACCUUGGUGGUCUAUUUUGUUGGUUCGCACGCCAAGGUAAUGAUUAAUAGGGAUAGUUGGGGGUAUUCGUAUUCAAUUGUCAGAGGUGAAAUUCUUGGAUUUAUGGAAGACGAACUACUGCGAAAGCAUUUACCAAGGAUGUUUUCAUUAAUCAAGAACGAAAGUUAGGGGAUCGAAGAUGAUUAGAUACCAUCGUAGUCUUAACCAUAAACUAUGCCGACUAGGGAUCGGUGGGUGCAUUUUUAGGCCUCAUCGGCACCUUAUGAGAAAUCAAAGUCUUUGGGUUCCGGGGGGAGUAUGGUCGCAAGGCUGAAACUUAAAGAAAUUGACGG